GUGUACCGGUACACAGCUCUGCAAAAUGCAAUCCGAGAGCAGGCUAAGUCCUCCACUUUGGUGACCUUAGCGCUACUUUAAAUACUUUAAUUCUUGGAAUACGAGCCAUAGGUCGAAACACUGUCAACGACCCUCCAGAAUAUCUGAAAAAACUCGAAACACAGAUCAAACACUCGAACCUCGCAAUUUGCAAAGAUCCAGUGUGUUACAGCUAAAUAAAAAUAUUGUUAAAUAAAGAAAUAAAAGAUAAAAGUUAAGUGUUGGUGAACCAAACCAAAUAGCCAAAACUCUCACGAUCCGACUCAUGCUUGUGCCGUGCGCGAUAGCGUGAAUAGUGGAUAGCACCGACCUCUUGGCCACCUAAGAAACUGACCAGAGGAUAAUGGAGUAUAUUAAAAUAUAUAUACACUUCUUGUAAGUUUGUCAUUUGUGAGUAAACUUAUAAGUAAUAAAUAGUACACAAGAUCCCACCUAAGGCCCAUUGGUGUUGGACUACCUAAAAAGGUCCUAUGCCAAAAUAAAAUUUUAAGAGUAGUGCUUCUAUACUUGUUAUUUUUCGCUAUCAUUCAUUCACUCCUCUUCAAAAGCUCAGAUUUUAAUUUUUUUAAAAUUGAGACCUACAAUAGCAGGUUAUUUUGGGUGAGGUACCGAUUACCAGGUAAAUCGAAGAAAAAUAUUUUUGCCUUUUAAUAUAUGAAUAAUUUAGUAAUUUUAUCUCUACUAUAUUAUCAAAAUCUUUAUUCUCUCUUUAUUUUCUUUUUCUCUUUUUUUCUUUCCUUACAAAUUCAACAAAUUCAAUAAUUUUUAAGGAACUAAAAUUUAAAAAAUUGACUAAAAACUGAUAAAUUUUAAAGGUAAAUCAAAAUCAAUUUACUAAAUCAAAAUAGUAACGACCCAGCCAACUAGCAACAAUAACUCGUUGGACCCAAACACCAGCCCAAAUGCUUAAGGCCAGUUAAGGCCCUGACGUUCUCGUCAGUCCAAUCACACACACAGCCCAAGAUUAUCAGGCAAUGUGAGACUCGUCUCGCUAGCCUUGUUGACAUAGCUUAUCACAUUAUCUUUCAAACCGUGGCUCAGUCGAGAUUCGUCACACAUUUCCGGCUGAUGAACUGAUUCUGAUACCAAAUGUAACGACCCAACCCACUAGCAAUAAUAACUCGUUGGGUCCAAACACCGGCCCAAAAUGCUUAAUCCCGGUUAUUAUUACUAGUGUCUAAGUCUCUUAUAUACCCAAUCACAUCCCCAUUAACAUCCGAUGUGGGAUUAUUAGAGUGUGACAAUUAAACUAAUCAAACUGAUAAACUAUAUAAAUAACUUAGAUUCGUUCAAUAUAAGUUUAUUUAAUUUAUCUAUAGUCUUAAUUUUGUUUACUCCAGUAAAACUCUAUGGUGAAGAUUUAUUAUAAGCUUAAAAUUUAAAUUAUACGGUCUGAAUUUAUUUAUUAGUAAGUUUAAAU
rnacentral:lncRNA from 1 species